UACGUAGGGCGCAAGCGUUGUCCGGAAUUAUUGGGCGUAAAGAGCUCGUAGGCGGCCAGUUGCGUCUGCUGUGAAAUCCCGGGGCUCAACCCCGGGCGUGCAGUGGAUACGGGCUGGCUAGAGGCAGGCAGGGGAGAACGGAAUUCCCGGUGUAGCGGUGAAAUGCGUAGAUAUCGGAAGGAACACCAGUGGCGAAAGCGGCUUCCUGGUCCGACACCGACGUUCAGGCACGAAAGCGUGGGGAGCAAACAGG
rnacentral:rRNA from 1 species